rnacentral:rRNA from 1 species
GGCUUAUUGAAUUAUAAUUUUAAGUCAAUUCUGCCCAAUGAUAAAAAUUUAAUGGCUGCAGUAUAAUUGACUGUACAAAGGUAGCAUAAUCAUUUGUUUUUUAAUUGAGAACUGGUAUGAAAGAGUUAAUGAGAUAUAUACUGUCUCAUAUAUAUUUAAUAAAUUUAAAUUUUUAGUUAAAAUGCUAGAAUUAAUUUAUGGGACGAUAAGACCCUAUAGAAUUUUAUAUUAAUGUAUUGAUUAUAAUUUAAUUAUUAUAUAUUAAUAUUUUGUUGGGAGGACAGGUAAAUUUAAUAAACUUUAUUUAAAAUAAUAACUUUAAUUAAAGAAUAAAUUUUUUGAUCUUUUAUUAAGAAUUGAAAGAAUAAAUUACCUUAGGGAUAACAGCGUAAUAUCUUUUUAAAGAUCGAAUUGAAAAAGAUGAUUGCGACCUCGAUGUUGAAUUAAGAUAAAUUUUAAAUGGAGAAAUUUAAUAAUUAAGUCUGUUCGACUUUUAAAAUCUUACAUGAUUUGAGUUCAAAUCGACGUGAGU